rnacentral:lncRNA from 1 species
CUAGGUGCCUAUCGACAGUGGACUAGGUAAAGAAAAUGCAGUACAUAUACAGCUUGAAACUAUGCAGUCAUAAAAAGAGUGAAAUCAUGUCAUUUAAAAAUAAAUAAAUAAAUAAGUAAAUAAAUAAAACUCUUCCAUUCUUUGCAAAAUUAUUUGAACAUUCCUUGUAUUAAAUAGCAAACUGCAAAAGUACGAUGGACUUAAGGUCAUUGGAAACUGAUCUAUACAGAUGACCUGCACAAAUACUAGAUAUGCCAAACAGGCCAUAGAAUCUGCUGUUUAUCUUAUUCUUCUUUAUAUUAAAAAUAACCCUAAACCUCUUUUUCCUUCUAUAAUUAAAAAUCACUUUGUGGGCUAGGCACAGUGGCCCACACCUGUAACCCCAGCACUUUGGGAGGCCGAGGUGGGCAGAUCACUUGAGGUCAGGAGUUCGAGACCAGCCUGUCCAACAUGGUGAAACCACGUAUCUACUAAAAGUACAAAAAUUAGUCAGGCGUGGUGGCAGGCACCUGUAAUCCCAGCUACUCAGGAGACUGAGGCAGGAGAAUCACUUGAACCUGGGAGGCAGAGAUUUCAGUAAGCUGAGAUCGUACCAUUGCACUCCAGCCUGGGUGACAAGAAUGAAACUCCAUCUCAAAAAUAAAAAAAUAAAAAAUCACUUUGUGGAAAGGGUCUACAAUUGCUGAAAACAAACAAACAAACAAACGAACAUUUUUUUCAUGCAAAAUACUUUCAAUGAUCAUUCCCAAACAGUUCAAGGAAUUGUGCUGGCAGCAAG